rnacentral:rRNA from 1 species
UACGUAGGGGGCAAGCGUUGUCCGGAUUUAUUGGGCGUAAAGGGCGCGUAGGCGGCCUCCUAAGUCGGACGUGAAAGCCCCAGGCUUAACCUGGGAACUGCGUCCGAUACUGGGAGGCUUGGAUUCGGGAGAGGGAUGUGGAAUUCCUGGUGUAGCGGUGAAAUGCGCAGAUAUCAGGAGGAACACCUAUGGCGAAGGCAGCUCGCUGGGACGUUACUGACGCUGAGACGCGAAAGCGUGGGGAGC